CCUACGGGCGGCAGCAGUGAGGAAUAUUGGUCAAUGGACGAGAGUCUGAACCAGCCAAGUAGCGUGAAGGAUGACUGCCCUAUGGGUUGUAAACUUCUUUUAUAUGGGAAUAAAAUGUUCCACGUGUGGGAUUUUGUAUGUACCAUAUGAAUAAGGAUCGGCUAACUCCGUGCCAGCAGCUGCGGUAAUACGGAGGAUCCGAGCGUUAUCCGGAUUUAUUGGGUUUAACGGGAGCGUAGGUGGAUUGUUAAGUCAGUUGUGAAAGUUUGCGGCUCAACCGUAAAAUUGCAGUUGAAACUGGCAGUCUUGAGUACAGUAGAGGUGGGCGGAAUUCGUGGUGUAGCGGUGAAAUGCUUAGAUAUCACGAAGAACUCCGAUUGCGAAGGCAGUUCACUGGACUGCAACUGACACUGAGGCUCGAAAGUGUGGGUAUCAAACAGGAUUAGAUACCCGAGUAGUC
rnacentral:rRNA from 1 species